CCUACGGGAGGCAGCAGUGAGGAAUAUUGGUCAAUGGGCGCUAGCCUGAACCAGCCAAGUAGCGUGAAGGAUGACUGCCCUAUGGGUUGUAAACUUCUUUUAUAUGGGCCUCCCGUGCCGUCUGUAUACUGCUUUGCAUGUACCUUAUGAAUACGGAUCGGCUAACUCCGUGCCAGCCGCCGCGGUAAUACGGCGGAUCCGCGCGUUCUCCGGAUUUCUUGGGUUUACAGGGCGCGUAGGCGGGUUGUUACGUCAGUUGUGACAGUUUGCGGCUCAACCGUACAAUUGCAGUUGAUACUGGCAUCCUUGAGUACAGUAGAGGUAGGCGGAAUUCGUGGUGUAGCGGUGAAAUGCUUAGAUAUCACGAAGAACUCCGAUUGCGAAGGCAGCCUGCUGGACUGUAACUGACGCUGAUGCUCGAAAGUGUGGGUAUCAAACAGGAUUAGAUACCCGUGUAGUC
rnacentral:rRNA from 1 species